GACUCGUGAAUCCUCAAGUUGCAGAGUGUCAUGCCCUAAAGUGAGACACCACCCAAUCACAUUUCAAUAAAAACAAACCCUGUAUGUGGCUGCUGUGUACGAGGAAUAUCAAACAGACUCGGAGGAAGGCACUUUGACACUGUGCUUAUAGCGCUGUUGCAUCGCAUUACAGCAGUAAAUUGAAAUUCAGGGCAAAAUGAUUAAAUUCAUUGCCGCACAAUAUUUCUGGGAACAACAAAAAGAAAAUAUUAUCACAGCUUGUUUUGAGGAGGAUGACACACUUGCAGCAGGUUGCUUUUCUCCCCCCUUUUUUUUUCCCCCACAGGUUUUUAUCACUUUACCCUAUUUCUCAUCUUCUAGUUUAUUUAGACUGUUUGUCUUCACUUGCCUCGUCCUCCUCCUUUUCUCCUCAUCCAUGCUUUCACUGUUGCAGCCCAAGUCGUGCACACUUCAUGCAUCUUAUCCCCCACAUUUAAUUUCUCCCUUAUUUUUUUGCUCUUCUAUUUUCUUCUACUUUUUGGUGAUUUAUACUUUAUUCUCACUUCUUUGUCACCUGUUGCCUUUCCUUCACUUGUGUCCUUCCAAACCUUAUUGCCCCAUCUGGCCUUUUAAUUCCCUCAAUUUUCUCUCUAAUCUUUUUUUUUGUUGCAUUCUUUUCUUCCUUACCAAGUUUUUUCCUUUUAAGCUCUUCUCUAUUUUCCCUCAUCUUUAUCGUUUGUUUUCCGUGUUUCCAGUCUUUCCUUCUGUCCCCUCUCUCUCACUGCAUCAAUGGUUUGUGUGUCCUUGCCUUCAUCAUUGUUUCCUGUUUGCUCCUUUAUUUUUCUCUCCACUUUUACCGUCCAUCAUAUCUUCAUUGCCAUCUUAACCUUCUGCCUCUUUAUCUUUCUGCUUAUUCCUGCCUUUCAGCUUCUUUCAGCUCCUGUUUCCUUCAUUCCUUCAUUUUGACGGCUUUGUUGAUUUUUUCCUUCUUCCAGCCAAAUCCCCCCCCCCCCAGAAACCUGUGUGUGUGUGUGUGUGUGUGUGUGUGUGUGUGUGUGUGUGUGUGUGUGUGUGUGUGUGUGUGUUCCUCGGAGGUAGUGCUGUCUCAAACCUGUUUCAGGGCCACUUUCUAUUGAAAAAGAAAAAGAGCCAUCAUGCCAAGGAAGGUGUUUGUGAACAGACCAAAACAACUGCAUGCUGGGCUCUCCAACAACUUCAGAUUCAACAUGUAGACACAAAAGCAUCAGUGCAAUCACCAUCUUGUUUCCCAACAUUGCUUUUGUGUUUUUGGUCUCACAGUUUAGUUUGUCUUCUAUUUGCUUCCUCCUCUACCUGCACUCGUUCACCUUUCUGUUCUUGCCUUUUCUCUUCUUGUCUCUCAGAUUCUCUUCAUUUCUCCCAUUGACCUCAGCUCAUCUCUACGUGUGGUUCUGCUGAGGCAGGGGUGUAAAGCAUACCUAGAAUGGGAAGUAGAUGAUAACAUAAUAAUGUAAGAUAAAACCGUAUUGAUUCUCGGCAGUGAAAGCAGGUCGCAGCAGCAACCGCAGAGAACAGCAGGAAAAUUAGAGGGAACAGAACAAAUCGAAUACGCCGAAGCUUCAAUUUAAAGGUGACAGGGGCACAUU
ensembl:lncRNA